UCUAGUUGUGGCACAUGGGACACCGCCUCAACGUGGCACGACAAGCGGUGCCAUGUCGGCACCCAGGAUGAGAACCAGCAAAACCCCAGGCCAUUGAAGUGGAGCACACAAACUGAAGCACUUGGCCCCGGGCCCGCCCCUGGAGGGUGUGAUUUCUAAAGAGUUCAGUUCAACUGACUUAAGAGAGCUCCCAGACCUUAAGCAUCAUGGACUACAACCUGGACAAUUUAUUUAUCAGAAGAGGCAUCAAAUAAAAGACCGUUUGCAGCCGUGUUGGAAAGGACCACACCAGGAGGAGAAGAAGACGGCGUC